AUGCAUUAUUCAGCCAUGUGUCUAUCACAGCUUCUUUUAGUGGCUCUUUGUCUAACAGGUGCAGCUGGUCAGACACUGACUGAAUCAGAGCCAGUAGUUAUUAGACCUGGAGGAUCUCACAAACUGACCUGCACCACGUCUGCGUUCACAUUUAGCAGCUAUGAAAUGAGCUGGAUCAGACAAGCUCCUGGUAAAGGCCUGGAGUGGAUUACUUAUAUCGGCACAUACAGUACCCCAAUCUACUACUCCCAGUCAGUCCGGGGGAGAUUCACCAUCUCCAGGGAUGAUUCCAGAAGUGAGCUCUACUUACAGAUGCGCAGCCUGAAGAGUGAAGACACUGCUGUGUAUUACUGUGCUCGUGAACACAGUGGAGGAAGGCAGAAGCCAGGCUCCUGGGAAGUCUAUCUGUCUUACCUGCAACGUAAAGUAUUCAUUGUCUAUAAGCUGAAAAACUGCAUCUACAGAGACCCCUCCAGCAGCACAGUGACUGUCUACAGACUGGAGACGCAGUUGGGUAUUACUGUACCCAAAAAAACCCCACAGAACUACAUCCGUACAACACACCAUUAA